rnacentral:tRNA from 13 species
AGGCACCGACGAGAUUCGAACUCGUGAUCUCCUGUUUACUAGACAGGCGCUUUAAUCAACUAAGCCACGGCGCC